UUUUACUGUUGGGCAGCAUGGAUCGAGACUGUGCAAGUUAUGGUUGUGCAGCGUGGUUCGAGGCCAUGCAGUUUAGG
rnacentral:tRNA from 1 species